AGAACGCUGGCGGCGUGCUUAACACAUGCAACUCGAACGCUGAAGCACCCAGCUUGCUGGGUGUGGAUGAGUGGCGAACGGGUGAGUAAUACGUGAGUGACCUUCCCUUGACUCUGGGAUAAGCCCGGGAAACUGGGUCUAAUACCGGAUAUGCACUAUCACCUGCCUGGGUGGUGGAAAGGGUUUUAUACUGGUCUUGGAUGGGCUCACGGCCUAUCAGCUAGUUGGUGAGGUAAUGGCUUACCAAGGCGACGACGGGUAGCCGGCCUGAGAGGGUGACCGGCCACACUGGGACUGAGACACGGCCCAGACUCCUACGGGAGGCAGCAGUGGGGAAUAUUGCACAAUGGGCGCAAGCCUGAUGCAGCGACCCGCGUGAGGGAUGACGGCCUUCGGGUUGUAAACCUCUUUCAGCAGGGAAGAAGCGAAAGUGACGGUACCUGCAGAAGAAGCGCCAACUAACUACGUGCCAGCAGCCGCGGUAAUACGUAGGGCGCAAGCGUUGUCCGGAAUUAUUGGGCGUAAAGAGCUCGGCUUGUCGCGUCUGCUGUGAAAGCCCGGGGCUUAACCCCGUGGUGUGCAGUCCGUACGGGCAG
rnacentral:rRNA from 1 species